rnacentral:rRNA from 1 species
GGCAGACGGGUGAGUAACAUGUGGGUAUCUGCCCUUUGGCCUGGAAUAACACGAGGAAACUUGUGCUAAUACCGGAUAAGUCUUUACGGAGAAAGCUUUAUGCACCAUUGGAUGAGCCCGCACUUGAUUAGUUUGUUGGUAGGGUAAUGGCCUACCAAGACUGUGAUCAAUAGCUGAUUUGAGAGGAUGAUCAGCCACAUUGGGACUGAGACACGGCCCAAACUCCUACGGGAGGCAGCAGUGGGGAAUCUUGCACAAUGGAGGAAACUCUGAUGCAGCGAUGCCGCGUGAGUGAAGAAGGCCUUUGGGUUGUAAAGCUCUUUCGUCGGGGAAGAAAAUGACUGUACCCGAAUAAGAAGGUCCGGCUAACUUCGUGCCAGCAGCCGCGGUAAUACGAAGGGACCUAGCGUAGUUCGGAAUUACUGGGCUUAAAGAGUUCGUAGGUGGUUGAAAAAGUUGGUGGUGAAAUCCCAGAGCUUAACUCUGGAACUGCCAUCAAAACUUUUCAGCUAGAGUUUGAUAGAGGAAAGCAGAAUUUCUAGUGUAGAGGUGAAAUUCGUAGAUAUUAGAAAGAAUACCAAUUGCGAAGGCAGCUUUCUGGAUCAUUACUGACACUGAGGAACGAAAGCAUGGGUAGCGAAGAGGAUUAGAUACCCUCGUAGUCCAUGCCGUAAACGAUGUGUGUUAGACGUUGGAAAUUUAUUUUCAGUGUCGCAGCGAAAACGAUAAACACAC